AAGGUUCUUUCAGGGUAUUUUCGUGGGUACCUAAAAUAGACAGCCAUUUGUUUAAGUCUUGGCUUUCAAGAAAUCCCAAAAAAGUGGGCUGUGGGAUGCAAAAACGUUGCCAAAGAACAUGUGCUAAAAAAGACAACAGACAUCUUUGAUGUUUUGUACUAUGAAAGCCUCAUAAAAUACAAAAACAUUUAAAAAAAAAAAAAAGCAGCUAGUCAUUCUUUUGCCCAUUGACAGCUCUCUGUUCUGUGAGUGGUCCACCAGCGAAACUGUUUCAAGCUGCCAUUCUGUAUUUGGGAAACGGUGAUUUCCUGUCUUGCAUGCUCGAACGUUAACGUUCCGUGGUGCAAACACCGCUGUUACGGUUCGCACGAGAGCGAGCGAGUAACGGCGCUUAUCGUCUGAGAAACAAGCCUCAACCGCACGGCUUUUUGGCAUUGAAUCGGCUUCACCUCUUUUUCCUUUCCCCAAGCCAAAAACACCUGGAGGGAGGUGAGCAUUUACCUACGGCGUUUUUAAGCAGCUGGUUUGUAGAAAGCACAAUAACACCGUAAUUGGGGCAAGCCGGUCAUCGCAAGCACGCUUUCUUAAGCUGGCUCAGCCAGCUUCCAUUCCCGCCUCGUGCCGGACGGAUCGCUUUCGCCAGGCGCAGGGAAGCCGCGGUCCCGCCUCCGAGACGAGUGGGCUCAAAAUCCCGGGUUACAGCAAAAGUUGAAAAAAUGAGAGAAUGAAUCAAAUGAAGAAAAAAAGAUGGGCACUGAUAAAGGGAGAUGCAACAAUGUUGGGGAAUCUUUGGCUAUAAUGCUGGAAGGCAAUGAGAUUGCCCAGUGCAAACAGAAGAUCUGCAGACUUAUUUGCCGAGGCCACACUAUGGGUACGAAUGAAGCAUCUUCCUGUUACUGUAUAGCAUGAAGACAAAGAAUUCAUAUUCAAAGGAACUGAAAUAAAAACUGCAAGAAAUUCCUUUAUUGUACAGGAAAGCAGCACAAGGGUUUUGAUUUUAAAAUAAAUCUGAUCUUACUACUCAACACAACAACAUGCAAUUUCUAUUUUAAUCUAAUACAACAAAAAAAGGAUUUUCUUGUAUUUAAUUAUUCCAGCUAGUGGAGUUACCUUGAGACAUGCCUUUCUCGUUAUUAUCAGAUUUUUAUUUAAAAAACACUGUUAGAGAAGAUAUGAACUACAGUUAUGUGAUAUUUUUGUUCCUCAUCUUUUGGACAAUGAGCAUAAUAUACUGCUUCCCCUAAUUCUUCUG